rnacentral:rRNA from 1 species
AGUGAACGCUGGCGGUAGGCCUAACACAUGCAAGUCGAACGGCCGCACAGUAAGAGCUUGCUCUUACGGGUGGCGAGUGGCGGACGGGUGAGGCAUACAUCGGAAUCUUCUUUUUCGUGGGGGAUAACGGAGGGCAACUUACGCUAAUACCGAAUACUACCUGCGGGUUAAAGCAAGGGAUCUUCGGACCUUUCGCGAUUGAAUGAGCUGAUGUCGGAUUAGCUAGUUGGCUGGGUAAAGGCCCACCAAGGCGACGAUCCGUAGCUGGUCUGAGAGGAUGAUCAGCCACACUGGAACUGAGACACGGUCCAGACUCCUACGGGAGGCAGCAGUGGGGAAUAUUGGACAAUGGGCGCAAGCCUGAUCCAGCAAUACCGCGUGAGUGAAGAAGGCCUUCGGGUUGUAAAGCCCUGUUGUUGGGAAAGAAAAGCAGUAGGUUAAUACCCCGCUGUUCUGACGGUACCCAAAGAAUAAGCACCGGCUAACUUCGUG